rnacentral:rRNA from 1 species
UACGUAGGGUGCAAGCGUUGUCCGGAAUUAUUGGGCGUAAAGAGCUCGUAGGCGGUUUGUCGCGUCUGCUGUGAAAUCUGGGGGCUCAACCCCCAGCCUGCAGUGGGUACGGGCAGACUAGAGUGCGGUAGGGGAGAUUGGAAUUCCUGGUGUAGCGGUGAAAUGCGCAGAUAUCAGGAGGAACACCGAUGGCGAAGGCAGGUCUCUGGGCAUUAACUGACGCUGAGGAGCGAAAGCAUGGGGAGCGAACAGG